CCUACGGGCGGCAGCAGUGAGGAAUAUUGGUCAAUGGGCGCGAGCCUGAUCCAGCCAAGUAGCGUGAAGGAUGACUGCCCUACGGGUUGUAAACUUCUUUUAUAAAGGAAUAAAGUGAGGCACGUGUGCCUUUUUGUAUGUACUUUAUGAAUAAUGAUCGGCUAACUCCGUGCCAGCAGCCGCGGUAAUACGGAGGAUCCGAGCGUUAUCCGGAUUUAUUGGGUUUAAAGGGAGCGUAGAUGGGUUGUUAAGUCAGUUGUGAAAGUUUGCGGCUCAACCGUAAAAUUGCAAUUGAUACUGGCAGUCUUGAGUACAGUUGAGGUAGGCGGAAUUCGUGGUGUAGCGGUGAAAUGCUUAGAUAUCACGAAGAACUCCGAUUGCGAAGGCAGCUUACUAAACUGCCACUGACAUUGAUGCUCGAAAGUGUGGGUAUCAAACAGGAUUAGAUACCCCAGUAGUC
rnacentral:rRNA from 1 species